AUGCGCCUACGGGGGGCAGCAGUGGGGAAUAUUGCACAAUGGGGGAAACCCUGAUGCAGCAACGCCGCGUGAAGGAAGACGGUUUUCGGAUUGUAAACUUCGUUUCUUAGUGAAGAAGCAAGUGACGGUAGCUAAGGAAUAAGCAUCGGCUAACUACGUGCCAGCAGCCGCGGUAAUACGUAGGAUGCGAGCGUUAUCCGGAAUUACUGGGUGUAAAGGGAGCGCAGGCGGGACUGCAAGUUGGAUGUGAAAUACCGCAGCUUAACUGCGGAGCUGCAUCCACAACUGUAGUUCUUGAGAGGUGG
rnacentral:rRNA from 1 species